rnacentral:lncRNA from 1 species
CUCAAGCAAGGGUCCGACCCGAACCCGGCGGGGCCGGUGGUGUACUGGAUGUUCAGGGAUCAACGGCUGCGGGACAACUGGGCUCUGAUCCACGCCGUCCAUCAAGCCAACCUGCUCGAGGUGCCCCUCGCCAUCGCUUUCAACCUCUUCCGUCACUUCAAGGGCGCCAAAGCUCGUCAAUUAGGGUUUAUGCUCAGAGGCCUCGAGAAAUUGCAUUCGGAUCUCCGCUCCACGCUCCACGUCCCCUUUUUCUUGUUCCAGGCGAGUUGAGUUUCGCGCCUAGGUUUUCCUUUACUUUUUUUUUUUUUUUCAUGUUCUUAUUUGCUUUGUUGGAUUUUGCUCAUUUGAGGGUGAAAAACGGAGAAUUUUUUCUCGAUAUUACCAAUGUUUAUGGAAAUGAUAGCAAGUGUUAAAUUAUUAAUUCGUGAUUGCUUGAGCAUAGGCUGCAAGCUGCUCGUUGUAUCUUUAACGAGUUUUCUAUUGACAAUACUUUGUUUGGUGUUAAUUUUGUUAUUGAGUAUGGCUGUUUGUAACUGUAGUAAUUAAUCUCUCUCUCUCUCUCUGCGUCUUGCUUAGUCAUCAGUGAAUUUCAUUUUUCAUUCUGCAUAACUGGAAUUACUGUAUGCAUUUGGAUUUUAGGUUGCAUUAGUACCUGCUAUAAAUUCGAAGCAUACAAUAUCAUGAUUUUGGAUGACUUGCAUUGUUUUUAGUAUUAUUGACGUUUUUCAAUGGAAAGAUACAGAAGUUGUUCAGCCAUAGUACUGAAUGUUUUGUCAUAAUGAAUUUAUAGGGAGAAGCUGUUGACACCAUUCCCAAAUUUCUGAAAGAAACUGGGGCUUCGCUUUUGGUGACAGACUUCUCACCGUUGAGGGAGGUUAGGCAAUGGAAAGAGGAAAUCUGCAAGAGGGUAACGGAAUCAGUUUCUAUUCAUGAAGUUGACGCGCACAAUGUGGUGCCUAUUUGGGUGGCGUCGGACAAAUUGGAAUAUGCUGCUAGAACUUUAAGGGGAAAGAUAAACAAAAAGCUUCCUGAAUAUCUAAUUGAUUUUCCUGAAGUCACAAGUCCAAUAAAAAGAUGGGAUUUCUCAAGUAAUUCUAUUGAAUGGGAGGACCUCAUUGCUAGUGUUCUAAGGUGAGAUGUUAACACUUCUUGAAUGAAUAUUCUGUAAUCUGUGAUAUGAUUUAGGCUAGGUGUUGGUAUGCAUCUAACGAUAUGACCAGACAAGGUGCAGAAGUUCCUGAACUUGAAUGGUGUGAGCCAGGUGAAAAGGCAGCAAUGGAAGUACUAAUGGGUGACAAAAGUGGGUUCUUGAAAGCAAGAUUGAAGAAUUAUUCUUCAGACAGAAAUAAUCCACUGAAACCCAAAGCACUAUCCGGCCUCUCUCCUUAUUUGCAUUUUGGGCAGAUAUCAGCUCAGAGAUGUGCCUUGGAGGCAGAAAAAGUGCGGAAACUAUACACCAAGGUGUGUGCUGCAAGUGUAUCUAUCAAGUUUCUCUCUAGUUUCAUACUUGUUAAGUUCUUCUAUGCUCCCAAUAUAUUACUUUAAUCGACACUCUAUUCUGGUGAUUUCAUACGAAGCUCAGUUUGUCCUUAUAUCUGACAAAAUGCUUGUUGCGGCUGCCAUCCUAAGGCAGUUGAUGUGUUUUUGGAAGAAUUGAUUGUCCGCAGAGAACUUGCUGAUAACUUCUGCUUCUACCAACCACAUUAUGAUUCACUAGAAGGUGCUUGGGAGUGGGCUCGCAAGACUUUGAUGGACCAUGCCUCUGAUAAACGUGAACAUACAUACACGUUAGUGAUUGCCUUUAAUUUUCUCNGUCGACCCCCACGCCACCGGCGACUUCUCUGUUUUGAUACCUUCAUUUCUGAAUCUGCCGUGAUUCUUCCUACACACCUAUGGUAAGUAUUAAAUUAGUUUCCUAAUUUAAUAACACGUUUCACUAUUUUAAAUAUAGAAUGAUUAUUAUUUUAGAAAAAACAAAUUUUGGAAAGAAUUUUAACAAUGGAAACUUAUAACCUAGCCAAGUUGCCAGAGUAGAGAUGCCAGAGCAGAGCUGCCAGAGCAGAGAUGCCAGAGCCAGAGCUAGCCAGAGCAGAGUUACCAGAGCAGAGUUGCCAGAGCAAAGCUUCCAUAGGAGAGCUGUCAGAGCAGAGUUAACAUAGCAGAGCUUCCAGAGCAGAGCUGCCAGAGCCAGAGCAAACCAGAGCAGAGCUUCCAGAGCAGAGGGCCAGAGCCAAGUUGCCAGAGCAGAGCUUCCAGAGCAGAGAUUCCAGAGUCUAAGUCAUUAAAGUCAGAGCCAGAGCCAAGUCGCCAGAUCCAGAGUCAGAGCUAAGUCGUUAGAGUUAGAGCCAGAGCCAAAUCGCCAGAUUAGGCAUUAGUUAAUUGCAUACCUACAUUCUUAAUCCUCGCCUUUUCGAUAUUUAUAAGUUUUAAUUGCAUACCUAGAUUUUUAGCUAUAAAUUCAGAGAUGCCAGAGCAGAGAUGCUAGAGCCAGUGCUAACCAGAGUAGAGUUGCCUGAGCAGAGCUGACAGAGCAGAGGUUCCAGAGCAGAGGGCCAGAGCCAAGUUGCCAGAGCAGAGGGCUAGAGCAGAGCUGCCAGAGUAGAGAUUCCAGAGCUAAGUCAUUAAAGUCAGAGCCAGAGCCAAGUCGCCAGAUCCAGAGUCAGAGCUAAGUCAUUAGAGUCAGAGCCAGAGCCAAAUCGCCAGAUCCAGAGUCAGAGCUAAGCUAUUGGAGCCAGAGCGCGGAGCCACACGCUAGAGACAAUUCGCCAGAAGGCGAAGCUACUUAGCAGAGCGGAGCCAAAUAGUAUAAGUCUGCCCCAAGGAAGGAAAUCCAGAGCUACUAGACAGAGCGGGAUGAUGAGGACAGAAUCCAGCUCUGUAAUUAGGGGACAACGACCUGACAAGUUAUAAUCUAAUAAUAGCCUUAAUUAGUUAAUGGCGAGCAUGCGAAAUAGAUGACCAGACGAAUUUACUACUUUACCCCGACUGUAAUGCCUAUAAAUACCUACGAUGAUGAAAUAAAGCACACGCUCUCUCUUUUACUGCUUUAAGAACUCUUCUCUUUCCUUUCUCUCUAGAGUUUGAACUAAUAAAAUUACAUAUAUAAAUAAAAUAUCUAAAUUGUUAGAGUUAUGUUUGUUAGAUAGUUGACAAUUGGAGUCAUGGUUGAAUAUAAUUUCAUAUUUGAUGAUGCUCUCUGAAACUCUAGAUGAGAUGAUGCUCAAAACUCCAGACGAGAUGAUGCUCUUUCAAGUUUUAGACGAGAUGAUUCUCUUUCAAGUUUCAGACAAGAUGAUGCUCAGAAGUUAGAGGUGGUCUGUCAAGUUUGCGACGAGCUGAUGCCCACAACUUGGUUGGUCUUAAAACUCCAAAUGAUACGAUGUUCGAUAAAUCAGUUAUGGUCUUUUAAAUAUCAGGCGAGAUUAUUUUCAUAAUUAGUUAUGCUUUUAGAAGUUCGGAAUUAUAUGAUACCUAUGUCAAAUUUAUAUGUAUUUCUACUCUUUUUUUUCUUACGCGUCAACUUUUUAUAAAAUUUCAUAUGAAAACUAAUGGGUAUUUUUAUGAUCUCAACAAAAUUAAUAAUUUAAUUGCUAAAAGUUGUUGACAUUAAUAUAAUUUAAAAUGUAUUACUAAUUUAAUUUAAUUUAAUUUAAUUAAUUAUAUAAAUAAUUUACAUAAAAAAUUAUUUUAUAUAAUUAUUAUAAGAAUAACAUAAAAUAUAUAAAUUACAAGAAAAUAUGUACCCGUCGAAUUUCGACGGGUAAUACACUAGUACUAUAUGAUAAUGUGAUAAUGAGGCACCCAAGGAUCAUACAUUAAUAUCUGCUUAGACUAUUAUAGAAGUUACAUUAUUAUAUCUUGAUUUCAAAUUAUACAAUGAACAUCAAUACAUAUGGAAUGUAAAUUGAUUAAUUUAACCACAAAAUCACAUAAAAAUCUUUUAAAAAAUCGCAUAAAAAGAUCGAUUAUACUUAUGCACAACAAUUAACUAUUCUAUAUCAUGGCCGAUAGAUUUAUUUAAAAAUACAAUAAAACCUCUAAAAUUUAAUAACUUUGGAGCCUAGAAAUUUUAUCGAUAAAUUAAUAAGUUUCUAAUUUAAUUUUCUUAACAUUAGAAAUUAUGAUAUUAAAUCAAGUUAUAAUAUGUAAAAAUAAAUAAGAGAUAAUAUUUAAAUUAAAUACAUGCAUAUGUCUAUCAAUUCAUUGUGGCUGAUAUCAUUGGAGAUCCUAAUGUUGAUGAAGCUAAAGAUGAUUUAACAAGUUAUCAUAAUAUUCAUAAUUGUAAUAUUUCAACAAUUAUUAAUUUAUAAUAUUAACAAGACCUAUACAUUUAUAAAUGAGUUCUCUAAAAAAUUAUUAUUUUAUUAAAAUUGGUGAUUUUUUGAAUUGGCUCAAGUUGAGAUCGAAUAAAUUAAUUUAUAAAAUUUAUUAAUUUAUUGAGUAUUAUUUUAAAGAGUUUUUAAAGUUAUUUUAGAAUUAAUUAAACUAAUUAUUAAUUAAAAGAUUAAAAUAUAAUAAAUAUUAUAUUAAUAUUUUUUACUUUCAUCAAAAGAGUAUUUAAUUAUACGUACAACUUUCUUCUCAUUACUGUAAAUUCUUGAUUCUCGACAAUUGACCCCGUCACCAAAACAUCACCAAGCUUGCAUCAGUCAAUUGUAUUUAUUUAUCUAACUUAAACUAUUUUUUUUUCUAAGACACACUGAAAAUAUAUUUCUAGUUUAAUUCAACGUAUCAGAUUCUAAAGGAAACCCAAUUAAAAUGGUCAAAACAACCUAUUUAAUAUCAACAACUCGAAAUCUCAUUCAUAAUUUAGAAACACUAAAAAUGAAUCUGUUUUCAACCAUCGAGUCAAACAUAAUACAGUUAUACAGUAUUGGAGUAUAAUAUUAGGAUACUUACCUUAAUAUUUCAAGUUGACUAAUCAAUUUUUAUAAUAUUAGGAUACUUACCUUAAUAUUUCAAGUUGACUAAUCAAUUUUCAAACAGUUGCUAUAUGAUUAUUGAUUUGAGCCAAUAAAAGUAUACAUUAAAUUUAUACACUAAUUAAUAAACUUUUAAAUUUACUUGCAUUUUUUAUGUUCUGAGAAAUUAUGUAGCACGUGAAUACAUGAAAGGGUACAGCUGGAAUCUCACUUAUAAUACAGUACAGUGGUGGGCUCCUGCUUAAAUAAUUAACCUUGUUUAGUUACAACUUAGCUUUCACAACAACUCAUUUAACAAAAAAUAAAAAAAUUACUUUGCUUUCACAAUAAUUGCAAUUUAACAUCUUAUUGAUCAUAAUUACAACUUCAAUUUCUUAAUUUCAUCUUCUCCCGCUUCCCCUCCCCGUGAAUUACUUAAACAAAUAAAUACUUCAUUCGUCCAUAAAAGAACUUUUAGGAGGGAGUGACACGAGUUUUAAAAAAAAAAUUGUUGAGUGUAUUGAGAGUGGUGAAAAAGUGUUAUAAUUAAUAUUGAGAGUUGUGCAAAAGAGAAAAGAAAGUAAUUAUAUGUGGUGGGGUAUAGUCCAAAAAUGAGUAGGAAGUUUUUUUGUGGACGUCCCGAAAAGGAAAGAUAGGAAGCUCUUUCGUGGAUGAAGGGAGUAUAUUUCAUCAAUUCAUACAAAAUGUUGAUGCUACUAUUUUAGGCACGCUGCUCUCCUAGCUAUUCCAUAAACAAGUCGAAUCUAACACGUAUAGAUAUUUUGUUUUUCAAGUCAUAUAUAAAUAGUUUUUAGCGUUAUAUAUACCUAUAAAACCUAUUUUGAAAUAUUAAUCUCAUCAAAUUAGGCUACUAAAUUAAAUUAUUUCAUAUUAAUUGUAAACAAUAGUAUUAGUUUCAGUUUCUAGAUUUUGAUAUGUAGUACUUGUUAAUUCUAAACAAUAUUUUGUUUUGACUUUUCUUUCGUAUAAGUCAAUGAUAAGUCAUUCAUAUAGAUUUAUGCUUCCUGGAUUAAAUUAUUUGUAUGCUCAGAUUCAACUUAUGAGCUGCGCGGCAUCCGUUUGAUUUGAAUGGUAAGUUAUGAUAGAUAAAAGGGUUAAUAGCCGAAAAAUACACGAACUUUCACGAAAUUUGCAUAUUGCACAUGACCUUAAAAAAUAGCCUUAGAAUACACCACCUUUUAAUUUAGUCGUAAAUUGCACACGGUGAAAGUUCCGGCAGCUCUUAAGUUUGACCGGCGAUGACGUGGACAAUAUUUAACAUUACAUGGCAUUAUUCGUGGCUUUUUUUACACGCUGGCAAGCCACGUGAGCAAAACGACGUCGUUUUGAUAUUUUGAAGAAUUUACUAAAAAAAAAAACAUCCUCCCUGCCGCCUCCCUCCUCCACUCAACUGCCACCUCCAUCCUUCCAGAUCUGGAGCCGCCCCCUCCUUCUCCGGCGAGGCCUCUCCGACAUCAACCGCGACGGGAGGAACGCCUCUUCCAGAUCUGGAGCCGCCACCUCCACCCUUCCAGAUCUAGGUUUCGCCGUCUCCCCCUCCACCCACGACGACACAGCACUGCGCCUCUGGAGAGAUAAGAAUAGGGCACCAGUGGCUGCGGUGCUUGGGAAUGACAAAACGAGGGCACCACCACCUCCGCCGCCAAUACCCUAGAUCCCCAAAUCGCAGCCUCCUGCUCGUCGAUUCCCGGCGACCGCAUAGCAGGAAGGCCGCCGGCGCCGAGCCCAACCCGAAGCCCCCCUUCUCUCCACACUCCGGCUACAACAACGGCUUCUUGCCCCAAAUCACUCAACAAUCAACAAUCACCUUCAACAACAAUUUUUUUCUUUUUCAGCCCCAAAUCACUCAUCAAUCAACAAUAAUCUUCAGCCCCAAGUUCGAGUAGGACCACCCGGCGGAGGCGGCGGCGGGGGUAGGCGGGGGCUGCGGGGUGAAGAAGAAGGUGAGCGGUGAAGGAGACUUGGCAGAACAACGUCAACGUGAAGCUUUUUCUUUUUUCUUCUUUUUUUUAUUUAAAAUAUUUGACAAAACGACGUCGUUUUAGGUGUUGUAAUGUAACAACAAAACGACGUCGUAUUCCUACAUCGGAAAACCGUCCACGUCAACAAAAUCCGACAGCCACGUCACCACCGAUCAAGGUGGUAGUCAACGCGGGUGCAAUUUGCAACUAAAUUAAAAGGUGGUGUAUUCUGGGGCUAUUUUUGAAGGUCAUGUGCAAUAUGCAAAUUUCGCGAAAGUUCGUGUAUUUUUCGGCUAUUAACCCUUGAUAAAAUAAUAUAAAUUAAUUAAAUGUUUAAUUUGUAUUAUUUGAUUGUGAUGAAUAACCUGAUCUGCACUCUAAUCGUCCAAUUGGAUAAUUAUUUAUCAUGACUUUAAAAUUGGAUUGUUUAUUUAAUUAUUUUACAAUUCUACUACACCUUCCAAAUCAUCUUUUCUAAACACUACUUUUCUGACGGAUAACCUACUUUUUUUUUUCUCGUCGAAAUUUAUCAAUCCUAUAAAAUACCACAUAAUCUUCAAACCAAUACAUAUCACAAUAUUCUCUCAAAAAAUAAAAUACAUAUCACAAUAAUAAUAAUAAUAAUAAAAAAUAGAUAAAUCCGUGCCAAUCAAUAGAUGUACAAGCAGUACAUGAAAUCUAAAAUAUAAGAGGAGAAUUGGGGCCCACUAAAUGGUGGGUCAGCUCUUUCGAAAUGGGCCGAACAAUGACAAAGAAAAAUGGUAAUGAAAAAACAAAUUAACGAAUGAAAAGAAUCCUACGUGUCCACCUUCAAAACCACAACCGUUAGCCGUUUGAAUUCCCUCCAUUUCAUCGCUCCCUCCCUCGCUUUCCCUUCUCUCUCAUUCAACCCUACACUCCCCCGGCCGCACAUUAGCUCAACCUAAUGUCUUCCCUUUGAUUCCACCCGUCCCAGCCUGGAAGGAUCCGGGUCCUCAAGCAAGGGUCCGACCCGAACCCGGCGGGGCCGGUGGUGGUACUGGAUGUUCAGGGGAUCAACGGCUGCGGGACAACUGGGCUCUGAUCCACGCCGUCCAUCAACGCCAACCUGCUCGACGGUGCCCCUCGCCAUCGCUUUCAACCUCUUCCGUCACUUCAAGGGCGCCAAAGCUCGUCAAUUAGGGUUUAUGCUCAGAGGCCUCGAGAAAUUGCAUUCGGAUCUCCGCUCCACGCUCCACGUCCCCUUUUUCUUGUUCCAGGCGAGUUGAGUUUCGCGCCUAGGUUUUCC